rnacentral:rRNA from 1 species
CCUACGGGCGGCAGCAGUAGGGAAUCUUCCACAAUGGGCGAAAGCCUGAUGCAGCAACGCCGCGUGGGUGAAGAAGGUCUUCGGAUCGUAAAACCCUGUUGUUAGGGAAGAAAAUGCGUGAGAGUAACUGUUCACGUUUCGACGGUAUCUAACAAGAAAGCCACGGCUAACUACGUGCCAGCAGCCGCGGUAAUACGUAGGUGGCAAGCGUUAUACGGAUUUAUUGGGCGUAAAGGGAACGCAGGCGGUCUUUUAAGUCUGAUGUGAAAGCCUGCGGCUUAACCGGAGUAGUGCAUUGGAGACUGGGGGACGUGAGUGCAGAAGAGGAGAGUGGAAUGCAAGGUGUAGCGGUGAAAUGCGUAGAUAUAAGGAAGAACACCAGUGGCGAAAGCGGCUGUCUGGUGUGUAACUGACGCUGAGGUUCGAAAGCGUGGGUAGCAAACAGGAUUAGAUACCCUAGUAGUC